rnacentral:rRNA from 1 species
CAGUCGCCGCGGUAAGACAGAGGAUGCAAGCGUUAUCCGGAAUGAUUGGGCGUAAAGUGUCUGUAGGUGGCUUUUCAAGUCCGCCGUCAAAUCCCAGGGCUCAACCCUGGACAGGUGGUGGAAACUACCAAGCUGGAGUAUGGUAGGGGCAGAGGGAAUUUCCGGUGGAGCGGUGAAAUGCAUUGAGAUCGGAAAGAACACCAACGGCGAAAGCACUCUGCUGGGCCGACAUUGACACUGAGAGACGAAAGGUAGGGGAGCAAAUGGGAUUAGAUACCCCAGUAGUCCCUGUCUCUUAUAC